rnacentral:rRNA from 1 species
AUUGAACGCUGGCGGCAGGCCUAACACAUGCAAGUCGAGCGGAGCGGCGGACGGGUGAGUAAUGCCUAGGAAUAUGCCUGGUAGUGGGGGAUAACGUACGGAAACGGGCGCUAAUACCGCAUACUAUCAGAUGAGACUAGGUCGGAUUAGAUAGUUGGUGGGGUAAAGGCCCAAAAAGGCUACGAUCCGUAACUGGGCUGAGAGGAUGAUCAGUCACACUGGAACUGAGACACGGUCCAGUCUCCUACGGGAGGCAGCAGUGGUGAAUAUUGGACAAUGGGCGAAAGCCUGAUCCAGCCAUGCCGCGUGUGUGAAGAAGGUCUUCGGAUUGUAAAGCACUUUAAGUUGGGAGGCGUUACCAACAGAAUAAGCACCGGCUAACGUCGUGCCAGCAGCCGCGGUAAUUC